UACGGAGGAUGCGAGCGUUAUCCGGAUUUAUUGGGUUUAAAGGGUGCGUAGGCGGGCUUUUAAGUCAGCGGUAAAAAUUCGGGGCUCAACCCCGUCCGGCCGUUGAAACUGGGGGUCUUGAGUGCAGAAGAGGAGAGUGGAACUCCAUGUGUAGCGGUGAAAUGCGUAGAUAUAUGGAGGAACACCGGUGGCGAAAGCGGCUCUCUGGCCUGUAACUAACACUGAGGCUCGAAAGCGUGGGGAGCAAACAGG
rnacentral:rRNA from 1 species